GGUUAAGCGACUAAGCGUACACGGUGGAUGCCCUGGCAGUCAGAGGCGAUGAAGGACGUGCUAAUCUGCGAUAAGCGCCGGUAAGGUGAUAUGAACCGUUAUAACCGGCGAUUUCCGAAUGGGGAAACCCAGUGUGAUUCGUCACACUAUCAUUAACUGAAUCCAUAGGUUAAUGAGGCGAACCGGGGGAACUGAAACAUCUAAGUACCCCGAGGAAAAGAAAUCAACCGAGAUUCCCCCAGUAGCGGCGAGCGAACGGGGAGGAGCCCAGAGCCUGAAUCAGCAUGUGUGUUAGUGGAAGCGUCUGGAAAGGCGCGCGAUACAGGGUGACAGCCCCGUACACAAAAGCGCAUGUGCUGUGAGCUCGAUGAGUAGGGCGGGACACGUGGUAUCCUGUCUGAAUAUGGGGGGACCAUCCUCCAAGGCUAAAUACUCCUGACUGACCGAUAGUGAACCAGUACCGUGAGGGAAAGGCGAAAAGAACCCCGGCGAGGGGAGUGAAAAAGAACCUGAAACCGUGUACGUACAAGCAGUGGGAGCACAGGUUUACCUGUGUGACUGCGUACCUUUUGUAUAAUGGGUCAGCGACUUAUAUUCUGUAGCAAGGUUAACCGAAUAGGGGAGCCGGAGGGAAACCGAGUCUUAAUUGGGCGUUAAGUUGCAGGGUAUAGACCCGAAACCCGGUGAUCUAGCCAUGGGCAGGUUGAAGGUUGGGUAACACUAACUGGAGGACCGAACCGACUAAUGUUGAAAAAUUAGCGGAUGACCUGUGGCUGGGGGUGAAAGGCCAAUCAAACCGGGAGAUAGCUGGUUCUCCCCGAAAGCUAUUUAGGUAGCGCCUCGUGAAUUCAUCUCCGGGGGUAGAGCACUGUUUCGGCUAGGGGGCCAUCCCGGCUUACCAACCCGAUGCAAACUGCGAAUACCGGAGAAUGUUAUCACGGGAGACACACGGCGGGUGCUAACGUCCGUCGUGAAGAGGGAAACAACCCAGACCGCCAGCUAAGGUCCCAAAGUCAUGGUUAAGUGGGAAACGAUGUGGGAAGGCCCAGACAGCCAGGAUGUUGGCUUAGAAGCAGCCAUCAUUUAAAGAAAGCGUAAUAGCUCACUGGUCGAGUCGGCCUGCGCGGAAGAUGUAACGGGGCUAAACCAUGCACCGAAGCUGCGGCAGCGAACGUAUCACUUAAAGCGAUUCAGCGGGUUACGAUUGACGGAGCGAAGCGACGUCAAAGCGUAUACAAAGUCGAGUCGGUUUAAGGAUACGUU
rnacentral:rRNA from 1 species